rnacentral:lncRNA from 1 species
AAGGCUGGAGCAUGGUGUUGACAUGACGAGCAUGGCAUGGGGCCUAUCACCCGCCUCCCCUUGGCUUGACUCCUCUGGGCUGCUCCAAUCAUAUCAUUUGAAAGGGGAGGGGAAGAGCAGGACUUUUUCCUCUAGUUUCAUUUCAAAAGUUUCCUUUCAAAUUUAGAUGUAAGGACAAAAGCUCCUAACCUCAUAGUGCUCUACAAACCUAAAAUUAGACUUUCUUGUCCCUAUACCAGGUUUGGUUUUCACAAGACUUUAACAUACAGCGUAAUGCAGUCAUAGAGGCAUGAAUACAUUCAGUAGCGGCUUCUUCAGACAGAAAACUAAAUAUGAAAUAUAUUUUGGGUACAAAACAUGCAAAAUACUCUUUAAUAUACUGCAGUGUGUUUCAGUAUAUGCACAUUACUGUGAUCUACAACACACUGUAGAUAUAUUGUAUUUGUGUAUGGGUUUGCAGUGCUUCUUGCUAUGCUUUAGUGUAGCUAGGCAGUCAUCUUACCUCCGUUUUUACAACAUUUAAGCUUAAGGUGCUUAUUAUAUGGUAAAUUGAAUCACAAUUAAGUCCUAAUGAAAGCAUGGAGAGCAUCUCAACUUUACUCCCGAAGGAUAAGGAGUGUUUCAUUUUAAAUCAAAGCGACCACCUCUCCUGUCUGUGUCUUCAGUUCUCGAGUGUGCGUGUGUGUGUGUGUGCGUGCGUGCGUACGUGCGCGUGUGUGUGUGUGUGCCUCCCUGUGUUACGUGUUACUGUGUGUCUUAGUUCCAAUGUUGUGUUGUCUCUGUGUCAGUAACGUCCCCUCCCUUCCUCUCCCCCCCCUUAACCCCUUUGUAGCAUGGGCCCAUAGGGGCCUCGCCUUAUAUGGGGUCUCAGCCUCCAUUUUGCAUGCAAGGGGCACCCGGUGCUGGAGCUCCCAUGAUGCCCGGCUCUCCCAUGAUGUUCCCCCAACAGCCCAUGAUGAGGCCGCAGUUCCCCACCGGGGGUCCUGCACCAGGAGGACCGGUAACACACAUGGACACAAACACUCAUGGACACAAACACACAUGGACACAAACACACAUGGACACAAACACACAUGGACACAAACACACAUGGACACAAACACACAUGGACACAAACACUCAUGCACACAAACACACAGAGAGACAAACAGAUACAAGCACAUACAUAGUCACACAUCCAAACAGACAGACAGACAGGCCGACACACACUUUUAUUACAUCACUAAACACACCCAUGAUCAACUGGCUGGACUUUAUCCCUCAGAAGGUGUAGCCACCUUUACAGAUGCCUGCAAGUCAUACAUUCUUCAUCAUACACAUAUACAAAUACACCUCCAUGGAUAUCUUCACUUCACACACAAACACACACACACUCAUACUACUGUGUGUGACGCCAGUGGCUGCCGAGAGACCUACUAG